rnacentral:rRNA from 1 species
UACGUAGGGGGCAAGCGUUGUCCGGAUUUAUUGGGCGCAAAGAGCGUGUAGGCGGCUAGAUAGGUCCGUUGUGAAAACUCGAGGCUCAACCUCGAGACGUCGAUGGAAACCAUCUGGCUAGAGUCCGGAAGAGGAGAGUGGAAUUCCUGGUGUAGCGGUGAAAUGCGCAGAUAUCAGGAAGAACACCCGUGGCGAAGGCGGCUCUCUGGUACGUGACUGACGCUGAGACGCGAAAGCGUGGGGAGCGAACAGG